GGAUGUGAGGGCGAUCAGGCUGCGACAUCUGUCACCCCAUUGAUCGCCAGGGUUGAUUCGGCUGAUCUGGCUGGCUAGGCGGGUGUCCCCUUCCUCCCUCACCGCUCCAUGUGCGUCCCUCCCGAAGCUGCGCGCUCGGUCGAAGAGGACGACCAUCCCCGAUAGAGGAGGACCGUUCUUCGGUCAAGGGUGUACGAGUAGCUGCGCUCCCCUGCUAGAACCUCCAAACAAGCUCUCAUAAAAACAAUGCCUAGCAUGUCGUCAAAAGUAAUAGACCUAAAAGGAAGCAAGAAUCCACGGGUGACAUAAAGCAAGAACAAGAGAUAAAAUUCUGACAACUCAGAUGAUUUAACUAU
rnacentral:snRNA from 1 species